ACACUCCUACGGGAGGCAGCAGUGGGGAAUAUUGGACAAUGGGCGCAAGCCUGAUCCAGCCAUGCCGCGUGAGUGAUGAAGGCCCUAGGGUUGUAAAGCUCUUUCACCGGUGAAGAUAAUGACGGUAACCGGAGAAGAAGCCCCGGCUAACUUCGUGCCAGCAGCCGCGGUAAUACGAAGGGGGCUAGCGUUGUUCGGAUUUACUGGGCGUAAAGCGCACGUAGGCGGACUAUUAAGUCAGGGUUGAAAUCCCGGGGCUCAACCCCGGAACUGCCUUUGAUACUGGUAGUCUUGAGUUCGAGAGAGGUGAGUGGAAUUCCGAGUGUAGAGGUGAAAUUCGUAGAUAUUCGGAGGAACACCAGUGGCGAAGGCGGCUCACUGGCUCGAUACUGACGCUGAGGUGCGAAAGCGUGGGGAGCAAACAGGAUUAGAAACCCUGGUAGUCCCAUGA
rnacentral:rRNA from 1 species